rnacentral:rRNA from 1 species
CCUACGUGCGGCAGCAGUGGGGAAUAUUGCACAAUGGGGGGAACCCUGAUGCAGCAACGCCGCGUGGGUGAAGAAGUACUCCGGUAUGUAAAGCCCUGUCAGCAGGGAAGAAAAUGACGGUACCUGACCAAGAAGCCCCGGCUAACUACGUGCCAGCAGCCGCGGUAAUACGUAGGGGGCAAGCGUUAUCCGGAUUUACUGGGUGUAAAGGGAGCGUAGACGGCAAGGCAAGUCUGGAGUGAAAGCCCGUGGCCCAACCACGGGACUGCUUUGGAAACUGUGUUGCUGGAGUGCAGGAGGGGUAAGCGGAAUGCCUAGUGGAGCGGUGAAAGGCUUAGAGAUCAUACAGAACACCGAUUGCGAAGGCAGCUUACCAAACUAUAUCUGACGUUGAGGCACGAAAGCGUGGGUAGCAAACAGGAUUAGAUACCCCAGUAGUC